AUAAACCUCCUGAAAUUCAAUUAGCGACGAAACCCCAGGCAAUUCAAAAUUUAUCUUAUACGCCUCAAAAGUGAGAUAGCGAACAGAUUUGUACUCUACGGUUAUCAGUCUUAUUUACGGUCACGAUUACCAGACUUAGUAACAGCUCGGAAUUAUCACGGAACGUGUUUACGCCAUGAUGUUUACUCGUACACGAGACGAGCAUCUCAUUCUCUUCCCUAUCUUACCCUCUCCUUACCCACGAGCCCUUAGCCUACGAGAUUUUAGUUUUACUCUCCAUCCUCCAGUGUUGGGUCUCCAUCCAUACACUCCCUCAGUCCCGAAAGAUCGACCGCAUGCUCAUCCAGCGCUGUGAUUGGUUUAUUCAUGUCUUUGGGGCGGACCCCUUUUUCAUCGAUCCCGCCCUCUCUCCGAAUCCAUAUACGUUUCGUAAAAAUUAAAACAUUCCUUAUCAGCAUUUCCUAAAACGCCUUUGUUUUGUGGUAUCUCAAUCCAUCCCCAAAUAUACGUUAAAAGAAGAUAAGCAAAAAACGUUUUGGAUGCGAGAACGUAAACAUUUGGAUAUUAAAUGGAUGAUCCAGAGAGGUCAACAGUACGUUAUGGAGUCUGCGCACUUGUCCGAUUUUUGAUUGGGGGAAGGGACAGAGAUUUGGCGGGGGAGAUCGCUACCCCCCAAAACAACCUGUUUCCAAGACAUAAACGUUUGACAACAAGUGAGUGACAGUGAGUAGUUAAUGUGUCGUUGCCUGGUACACGUCUUUCAGCGUGCUCGCGCGCAAAACCAUAGAAACCUGAACGUUCCCUGUCAGAGCAAGUAGCUCAUUCGUUUAUGAUGAUGAGCAUGAUCUUACAAGUUGGUGCAGUGCCACUGGGAUUUACCUCGGAAGUCGAAGGACAUUAUUGUAUUAAGUGUGAUCAGUAUAACGAACAAGACUGGCCGGUUUUCUUUUCGUCCACGAUGGCCUGGCAGUAUUUACGAAGUGAUUCACCACUGCCCGAUCUUAUCAUGGGCACCACCCCGCCGCCUUCACCACAUCAACAGGGAGGUCUCCACUACAAGUUCUUUCCUUUGAGAACGUCACCAAUGAACCAGAACCUCGAUUCCUACCCUCUGACCCCCUCACCGACGCCUUUGGGAAGAGAAUGCCCAAACUGCAGGACGCAAAGAGGAGAUGAAAAGGAGGACCCUCUCACGCCCAAGACGAAAUCAGGCUGGAGUCCCGAGAAGGUCCAACUUAAGCUCGAACACAUUCAGUCGGUCAGGCGGAGGGUUGAGGAGGACGCGCGAAGCCAUCUCUUUUUCCAGAGCUACAGCCAGAGGCAGCAGAGCCUUCCCCAGUUGUCCUGGGGCGUCCCCCCACCUCGCCGAUCACAAACGCGACAGAGGCAAGGAGAUCAGAAGCCUGAAGAGCAGUGUGAAGCUUCGGCGACCAGCAGCGCUGACGUUCAAAAUGCUUCUCGAGGCGCAACGUCUGAUUCUGAAGAGUGGCGUCUCAUUGGGGAAGACCUGAGGCUUGUUGCUGAUAGUUUCCAAGUGCAUUAUGCAACGACUGUCGGCAGCGCGAGGGUGUCAUCAGUGUUGCCAUCCACCGUUCCAUACCCAGUGGCAGCAUCACUAUUCUUCUUGUUCGCUUGGCGCCUUAUUUCAAGAUGGCGCUAAUCACUUUGCUUGCGGAGUUGCACUUC